GUGCUUGUUUCUGCAGUACAUAUUACUUAACUUGGAACGAUACAAAGGAGAUUAGCAUGGACCCUCCGCAAGGAUGUUAUGGAAAUUCAAAAAUGAUUCCAUAUUUUU